rnacentral:rRNA from 1 species
AUGGAGCCCAAUAAGGAUGCCAAGCCUCUGUCCCCAAAGGCACUCUCUCCACCAGAACCAUUCGUGCUCGACUACCUCGACUACCCCGACAGCUCACCUAUCUCUCCCUCCUUUCCAGCCAAAAGGAAGCCCUCGCCACUGAUCUACCAACUUGUAUCAUCCGACGAUGAGAAAGCAAACCCACAGAACAAACUCAAUGAAGCCUAUGAAGACAAAGCUUUUCAGCAGGAAAGAGACGGUGACCUCUCUUGGCUAGAAGAAAUAGACCAGUUGAGAGGCCAGAGUUACCCACCAGCAAGAGAGUUCAAGGCAGGCGAGCUUCAACCAUGUAUGAAGAGAAGCAAGACGAUCAACAAGGUGGCAAAGAAAGGUACAAGUGCCGAAGAAGCAAUCGAGAUCUCAUCUUCCGACUGA